CGAACGCUGGCGGCGUGCUUAACACAUGCAAGACGAACGGAAAGGCCCUGCUUUUGUGGGGUGCUCGAGUGGCGAACGGGUGAGUAACACGUGAGUAACCUGCCCUUGACUUUGGGAUAACUUCAGUAAACUGGGGCUAAUACCGGAUAGGAGCUCCUGCUGCAUGGUGGGGUUUGGAAAGUUUCGGCGGUUGGGGAUGGACUCGCGGCUUAUCAGCUUGUUGGUGGGGUAGUGGUUUACCAAGGCUUUGACGGGUAGCCGGCCUGAGAGGGUGACCGGCCACAUUGCGACUGAGGUACGGCCCAGACUCCUACGGGAGGCAGCAGUCGGGAAUAUUGCACAGUGGGCCGAAGCCUGAUGCAGCAACGCCGCGUGCGGAAUGCCGGCCUUCGGGUUGUAAACCGAUUUCGCCUGUGCCGAAGCGUGAGUGACGGUAAUGGGUAAAGAAGCACCGGCUAACUACGUG
rnacentral:rRNA from 1 species